UUCAAGUGCACAUCACUGAUGGAGUGGUUU
rnacentral:piRNA from 1 species